rnacentral:lncRNA from 1 species
ACUUCCCCCAGCUUGGCAGAGCCCUGCAAGAAUAAAUCUCUGGAGAAAUAGAUUUUGAAGAGGAAUUUGGUACAUAGAUCUUCUGUCAGCGGAGCAGACUCCGGCUCAGCUGUUUUUCAAGUUCGCUGCUUAUCCAGAGAUACAUCUAUUUUUACAUGGAUCUCUGGCGAGAUUUCCUCUUCUGGCAGGCAAUUAGGCCCCAGACAAUGGCCCGCAAAUGUCAGAAGUGGCG